CGUUAUGAUGAUUACCAUAUAUCAAAUGCAUAGUUCAACUGAAAUCUUCGGAUUGCUGAACGAAAACAUAUACCAUCUUUCACCUUGUCUGAUA
rfam:Aspergillus glaucus CBS 516.65 unplaced genomic scaffold ASPGLscaffold_26, whole genome shotgun sequence.